rnacentral:siRNA from 1 species
AAACGGUUACGGUUAAAUACGGU